AAAUGAAUAGACGGGGGCCCGCACAAGCAGUGGAGUAUGUGGUUUAAUUCGAAGCAACGCGAAGAACCUUACCAGGGCUUGACAUGGGUACCUAAGACCGCAGAGAUGCGGGGAUAUAUGGUAUUCACAGGUGGUGCAUGGUUGUCGUCAGCUCGUGUCGUGAGAUGUUGGGUUAAGUCCCGCAACGAGCGCAACCCUUAUCAACAGUUGCUACAAUUUAGUUUGAGAACUCUGUUGAGACUGCCGUCGACAAGACGGAGGAAGGCGGGGAUGAGGUCAAAUCAUCAUGCCCCUUACGCCCUGGGCUACACACGUACUACAAUGGCGGAUAACAGAGCGGAGCGAAGCGGCGACGUGGAGCAAAACGCUAAAAACCGUCUCGGUUCGGAUUGCAGGCUGAAACUCGCCUGUAUGAAGUCGGAAUUGCUAGUAAUCGCGAAUCAGCAUGUCGCGGUGAAUACGUUCCCGGGCCUUGUACACACCGCCCGU
rnacentral:rRNA from 1 species